rnacentral:rRNA from 1 species
GAUGAACGCUGACAGAAUGCUUAACACAUGCAAGUCUUUGGCGAAGCUGUGCUUGCACAGCCUAGCCAAGGCGGACGGGUGAGUAACGCGUAAGGAACUUGCCCUGCAGUCAGGGAUAACAGACGGAAACGACUGAUAAGACCUGGUAAAGUCAGGCGGACUCAUGUCCAGCCUGAUGAAAAGAGAUGCUGCAGGAGAGCCUUGCGUCCUAUUAGCUUGUUGGUGGGGUAACGGCCCACCAAGGCGAUGAUAGGUAGCCGGCCUGAGAGGGUGGACGGCCACAAGGGGACUGAGAGACGGCCCUUACGCCUACGGGAGGCAGCAGUGGGGAAUAUUGGACAAUGGGGGCAACCCUGAUCCAGCAAUUCUGUGUGCACGAUGAAGGUUUUCGGAUUGUAAAGUGCUUUCAGCAGGGAAGAAAAAAAUGACGGUACCUGCAGAAGAAGCGACGGCUAAAUACGUG